CUUGGGGGAAUGUAUAGCAAUUGCUAUUUGCACUAAUGUUAUUAGUGUAAAAUUAACUACGUUGAAUAAAAUUCUGGAUAGAAUUAUGAUAAUGACAUUAUCUAUUCAUAAGUCUUGACCAAAUUACGUGCCAGCUGUCGCGGUAAUACGUAGAAGACAAGUGUUAUUCAUCUUUAAUAGGUUUAAAGCGUACUUAGACAGUAAAUAAAGCCUCCAAAAGGGACUAGUUUGCUAGAGUUUUAUAUGAAGGGGUUUUAAAGUACUACUGGUGUAGAGAUGAAAUUCCGUUAUACCUUAAAUGGCACAGGUUAAGGCGAAGGCAUCCUCUUAUGUAAAAACUGACGUUGAAGGACGAAGGCUUUGUGUCUCGAACAGGAUUAGAUACCCUAGUAGUCUAAGCAGAAAAUGAUGAAUGUCAUAGAUUAGAUUUAAUUUGAUCUAUAAAUGAAAGUGUAAGCAUUCCACCUCAAGAGUAAUUUGGCAACAUUGGAACUGAAAUCAUUAGACCGUUUCUGAAACCAGUAGUGAUGUAUGUUGUUUAAUUUGAUAACCCGCAAAAAACCUUACCACGAUUUGAAUAGAUAUAUUUUAUCAUACAAGCGCUGCACGGCUGUCUUCAGUUAAUGUCGUAAGACUUUGGUUAGUUCCUUUAAAUUAACGUAAACCCUUGCUUUAUUUUUAUAUAAAGUAGUUCACCGCUAUAUUGGAUGUGAUAACAGGGAUCAAGACAAGUCAUCAUGGCCUAAAU
rnacentral:rRNA from 1 species